CAAAGCACAACACAUCCUUUACUCCCUGUAUAUACUGAGACCAGGUGUGCUAUAACUCUGUUAUGUAUGAGAUAUGAUUGCCUUGUGGCAAUGCCAAGCUGCUUCCUUGGACUCCAGACCUCUUAUCUCCACAGUGGGAGUGAUCCCUUUCUGGUUAAUGAAAUGAAUGGACAAAAUUCAGCCAACAUGAAAGGGAGUUCUUGCAGCAUUGGGGAGUGGCUCUGUGGUAUUUGCCAGGAAGUACUUGCUGACAAAGGCCAAUUUCCCUUCUGCUUCUCAUAAACUGUACUCUCUGAAAAGUGGCCAGUAUGAGAAAGAAAGGAUUCAAUACCUUAUGGACAACGCACCUCCCCAUCCCAAAAAGAAAAAGGAUUGAUGUUGUAA